ensembl:lncRNA
GGGUGGUUGGGUUGGAUGGGUCCUGAAAGGUUAAAAAGGCUUUGGAUGGUGAUAUUGGUUGAGAAGGUCCUGGAAGGUCACAAAAGGGGUGGGCUGGGCGGGUCCUGGAAGGUCAAAGAGGUAUAGGAUGGCUGUGUUGGGUUGGAAGGGGUCUUAUAGGUCCUAUAUGUAUGGGGUGGUUGUGGUUGGAUGGGUCCCGAAAGGUUAAAAAGCCUUUGGAUGGUGAUAUUGGUUGGGAAGGUCCUGGAAGGUCACAAAAUGGGAGGGGCGGUUGGGUCCUGGAAGGGGAAAGAGAUAUAGGAUGGCUGUGUUGGGUUGGAAGGGGUCUUAUAGGUCCUAUAUGUAUGGGGUGGUUGGGUUGGAUGGGUCCCGAAAGGUUAAAAAGCCUUUGGAUGGUGAUAUUGGUUGGGAAGGUCCUGGAAGGUCACAAAAGGGGAGGGCUGGGCGGGUCCUGGAAGGGGGAAGAGGUAUAGGAUGGCUGUGUUGGGUUGGAAGGGGUCUUAUAGGUCCUAUAUGUAUGGGGUGGUUGUGGUUGGAUGGGUCCUGAAAGGUUAAAAAGGCUUUGGAUGGUGAUAUUGGUUGGGAAGGUCCUGGAAGGUCAC